GACGAACGCUGGCGGCGUGCCUAAUACAUGCAAGUAGAACGCUGAAGGAGGAGCUUGCUUCUCUGGAUGAGUUGCGAACGGGUGAGUAACGCGUAGGUAACCUGCCUGGUAGCGGGGGAUAACUAUUGGAAACGAUAGCUAAUACCGCAUAAGAGUAGAUGUUGCAUGACAUUUGCUUAAAAGGUGCAAUUGCAUCACUACCAGAUGGACCUGCGUUGUAUUAGCUAGUUGGUGGGGUAACGGCUCACCAAGGCGACGAUACAUAGCCGACCUGAGAGGGUGAUCGGCCACACUGGGACUGAGACACGGCCCAGACUCCUACGGGAGGCAGCAGUAGGGAAUCUUCGGCAAUGGAUGGAAGUCUGACCGAGCAACGCCGCGUGAGUGAAGAAGGUUUUCGGAUCGUAAAGCUCUGUUGUAAGAGAAGAACGAGUGUGAGAGUGGAAAGUUCACACUGUGACGGUAUCUUACCAGAAAGGGACGGCUAACUACGU
rnacentral:rRNA from 1 species